rnacentral:rRNA from 2 species
UGAGCCAAGUUUAGGGUUUUCUCAAAACCCAAGCAGUAUUGAACUGAAGAGUUUGAUCAUGGCUCAGAUUGAACGCUGGCGGCAGGCCUAACACAUGCAAGUCGAGCGGAUGAAGGGAGCUUGCUCCUGGAUUCAGCGGCGGACGG